UACAGAGGUCUCAAGCGUUGUUCGGAUUCAUUGGGCGUAAAGGGUGCGUAGGCGGGGUCGUAAGUCUGUGGUGAAAUCCCUCGGCUUAACCGGGGAACUGCGUCUGAUACUGGAUGGCUUGAGUUUGGGAGAGGGACGCGGAAUUCCAGGUGUAGCGGUGAAAUGCGUAGAUAUCUGGAGGAACACCGGUGGCGAAGGCGGCGUCCUGGACCAACACUGACGCUGAGUGAGCGAAAGCCAGGGGAGCAAACGGG
rnacentral:rRNA from 1 species